rnacentral:rRNA from 1 species
AAAAAAAGCCACUAAGCUUCAGCUACACACGACCGUACCGCAAACCGACACUGGUGCGCGAGAUGAGUAUUCUAAGGCGCUUGAGAGAACUCAGGAGAAGGAACUCGGCAAAUUGACACCGUAACUUCGGAAGAAGGUGUGCCUUUAGUAGGUGAACCUGUACAAGGGGAGCCCAAUGAGGUUGCAAAAAAUCGGUGGCUGCGACUGUUUAAUAAAAACACAGCACUCUGCAAACACGAAAGUGGACGUAUAGGGUGUGACGCCUGCCCGGUGCUGGAAGAUUAAAUGAUGGGGUGCAAGCUCUUGAUUGAAGUCCCAGUAAACGGCGGCCGUAACGAUAACGGUCCUAAGGUAGCGAAAUUCCUUGUCGGGUAAGUUCCGACCUGCACGAAUGGCGUAACGAUGGCCACACUGUCUCCUCCUGAGACUCAGCGAAGUUGAAAUGUUUGUGAUGAUGCAAUCUCCCCGCGGAAAGACGGAAAGACCCCAUGAACCUUUACUGUAGCUUUGUAUUGGACUUUGAACAGAUCUGUGUAGGAUAGGUGGGAGGCUUUGAAGUGUGGUCGCUAGAUCGCAUGGAGCCAACGUUGAAAUACCACCCUGGUGUGUUUGAGGUUCUAACCUAGGCCCGUAAUCCGGGUCGGGGACAGUGCAUGGUAGGCAGUUUGACUGGGGCGGUCUCCUCCCAAAGCGUAACGGAGGAGUUCGAAGGUACGCUAGGUACGGUCGGACAUCGUGCUAAUAGUGCAAUGGCAUAAGCGUGCUUAACUGCGAGACUGACAAGUCGAGCAGAUGCGAAAGCAGGACAUAGUGAUCCGGUGGUUCUGUAUGGAAGGGCCAUCGCUCAACGGAUAAAAGGUACUCUGGGGAUAACAGGCUGAUACCGCCCAAGAGUUCAUAUCGACGGCGGUGUUUGGCACCUCGAUGUCGGCUCAUCUCAUCCUGGGGCUGUAGCCGGUCCCAAGGGUAUGGCUGUUCGCCAUUUAAAGAGGUACGUGAGCUGGGUUUAAAACGUCGUGAGACAGUUUGGUCCCUAUCUUCCGUGGGCGCUGCAGAUUUGAGGAAGCCUGCUCCUAGUACGAGAGGACCGGAGUGGACACACCUCUGGUGUAUCGGUUGUCACGCCAGUGGCAUUGCCGAGUAGCUAUGUGUGGAAGAGAUAACCGCUGAAAGCAUCUAAGCGGGAAACUCGUUUCAAGAUGAGAUCUGCCGGGGCCUUGAGCCCCCUAAAGAGUCGUUCAAGACCAGGACGUUGAUAGGUCGGGUGUGGAAGCGCAGUAAUGCGUUAAGCUAACCGAUACUAAUUGCUCGUGCGGCUUGACCCC